AUUGAACGCUGGCGGUAUGCUUAACACAUGCAAGUCGAACGGUAGCAGGCCUUCGGGCGCUGACGAGUGGCGGACGGGUGAGUAACGCGUAGGAAUCUGCCUGGUAGUGGGGGACAACUUAUGGAAACGUAAGCUAAUACCGCAUACGCCCUACGGGGGAAAGCAGGGGAUCUUCGGACCUUGCGCUAUCAGAUGAGCCUGCGUUGGAUUAGCUAGAUGGUGGGGUAAAGGCCUACCAUGGCGACGAUCCAUAGCUGGCCUGAGAGGACGAUCAGCCACACUGGGACUGAGACACGGCCAGACUCCUACGGGAGGCAGCAGUGGGGAAUAUUGGACAAUGGGCGAAAGCCUGAUCCAGCAAUACCGCGUGUGUGAAGAAGGCCUUAGGGUUGUAAAGCACUUUCAAUUGGAAGGAAAACCUCGAAGCUAAUACCUUCGAGUUUGACAUUACCUUUAGAAGAAGCACCGGCUAACUCCGUGCCAGCCGCCGCCGUAACAC
rnacentral:rRNA from 1 species